rnacentral:rRNA from 2 species
UAGGGAAUCUUCGGCAAUGGACGAAAGUCUGACCGAGCAACGCCGCGUGAGUGAAGAAGGUUUUCGGAUCGUAAAACUCUGUUGUUAGAGAAGAACAAGAACGUUAGUAACUGAACGUCCCCUGACGGUAUCUAACCAGAAAGCCACGGCUAACUACGUGCCAGCAGCCGCGGUAAUACGUAGGUGGCAAGCGUUGUCCGGAUUUAUUGGGCGUAAAGCGAGCGCAGGCGGUUUCUUAAGUCUGAUGUGAAAGCCCCCGGCUCAACCGGGGAGGGUCAUUGGAAACUGGGAGACUUGAGUGCAGAAGAGGAGAGUGGAAUUCCAUGUGUAGCGGUGAAAUGCGUAGAUAUAUGGAGGAACACCAGUGGCGAAGGCGGCUCUCUGGUCUGUAACUGACGCUGAGGCUCGAAAGCGUGGGGAGCAAACAGG